UUCGGUCACCUAACUCUUCAUGAGUUAGC
rnacentral:sRNA from 1 species